rnacentral:lncRNA from 1 species
CCAGCUAAGCGUCCGUGGUUUCGUCAACUGUUUAAAAUAUGAAGAUUUUGAUCAAAUUGCUUUUGGUAUGCUUUGUUUCGGGUUUUCCUUUGAAUAACUUGAUUUGACUUGUCUAAAUUUUUGUUUUUCUUUCAGGAUACAUGUCUGUGCCCGGUCCUCGACAAACUGGAUGGUUAGCCUCUUCCCAGCGUCGUCGGGGGGGUAGCGCGUCGCAAGGAG